UAAGUGACUAAGCGUACACGGUGGAUGCCUUGGCAGUCAGAGGCGAUGAAAGACGUAGUAACUUGCGAUAGCCCAGAUUAGGUAGUAACAACCAUUUGAGUCUGGGAUUUCUGAAUGGGGAAACCCACGUGCAUAAGCACGUAUCCUUACCUGAAUACAUAGGGUAAGGAGGCGAACCGGGGGAACUGAAACAUCUAAGUACCCCGAGGAAAAGAAAUCAACCGAGAUUCCGAAAGUAGCGGCGAGCGAAAUUGGACUAGCCCUUAAGCUUUACACGCGUUAGACGAACGGUCUGGAAAGUCCGACGAUACAGGGUGAUAGUCCCGUAGUUGACGACGUGUGUUCAGUGAAAUCGAGUAGGGCGGGACACGUGAUAUCCUGUCUGAAUAUGGGGGGACCAUCCUCCAAGGCUAAAUACUACUGACUGACCGAUAGUGAACCAGUACCGUGAGGGAAAGGCGAAAAGAACCCCUGUGAGGGGAGUGAAAUAGAACCUGAAACCGUGUACGUACAAGCAGUAGGAGCAGGCUUGUCCUGUGACUGCGUACCUUUUGUAUAAUGGGUCAGCGACUUAUAUUCAGUGGCAAGGUUAACCAUCUAGGGGAGCCGUAGGGAAACCGAGUCUUAACUGGGCGUUCAGUCUCUGGAUAUAGACCCGAAACCAGGUGAUCUAGCCAUGGGCAGGUUGAAGGUUGAGUAACAUCAACUGGAGGACCGAACCGACUAAUGUUGAAAAAUUAGCGGAUGACUUGUGGCUAGGGGUGAAAGGCCAAUCAAACCUGGAGAUAGCUGGUUCUCCCCGAAAGCUAUUUAGGUAGCGCCUCGGACGAAUACUACUGGGGUAGAGCACUGUUAAGGCUAGGGGGUCAUCCCGACUUACCAACCCUUUGCAAACUCCGAAUACCAGUAAGUACUAUCCGGGAGACACACGGCGGGUGCUAACGUCCGUCGUGGAGAGGGAAACAACCCAGACCGCCAGCUAAGGUCCCAAAUUACUACUAAGUGGGAAACGAUGUGGGAAGGCUCAGACAGCCAGGAUGUUGGCUUAGAAGCAGCCAUCAUUUAAAGAAAGCGUAAUAGCUCACUGGUCGAGUCGGCCUGCGCGGAAGAUGUAACGGGGCUAAGUAGUAAACCGAAGCUGCGGCAAUAUACUUUUGUAUAUUGGGUAGGGGAGCGUUCUGUAAGCGGUUGAAGGUGUGUGGUAACGCAUGCUGGACGUAUCAGAAGUGCGAAUGCUGACAUGAGUAACGAUAAAGGGGGUGAAAAACCUCCUCGCCGGAAGACCAAGGGUUCCUGUCCAACGUUAAUCGGGGCAGGGUAAGUCGACCCCUAAGGCGAGGCCGAAAGGCGUAGUCGAUGGGAAACGGGUUAAUAUUCCCGUACUUCUUACAAUUGCGAUGGGGGGACGGAGAAGGCUAGGUGGGCCUGGCGACGGUUGUCCAGGUUCAAGUGCGUAGGCUUAAGAGUUAGGUAAAUCCGGCUCUUUUUAAGGCUGAGACACGACGUCGAGCUACUACGGUAGUGAAGUCAUUGAUGCCAUGCUUCCAGGAAAAGCCUCUAAGCUUCAGAUUGUAAGGAAUCGUACCCCAAACCGACACAGGUGGUCGGGUAGAGAAUACCAAGGCGCUUGAGAGAACUCGGGUGAAGGAACUAGGCAAAAUGGUACCGUAACUUCGGGAGAAGGUACGCUCUCGACGGUGAAGUCCCUCGCGGAUGGAGCUAUUGAGAGUCGCAGAUACCAGGUGGCUGCAACUGUUUAUUAAAAACACAGCACUGUGCAAAAUCGUAAGAUGACGUAUACGGUGUGACGCCUGCCCGGUGCCGGAAGGUUAAUUGAUGGGGUUAGACUUCGGUCGAAGCUCUUGAUCGAAGCCCCGGUAAACGGCGGCCGUAACUAUAACGGUCCUAAGGUAGCGAAAUUCCUUGUCGGGUAAGUUCCGACCUGCACGAAUGGCGUAAUGAUGGCCACGCUGUCUCCACCCGAGACUCAGUGAAAUUGAAAUCGCUGUGAAGAUGCAGUGUACCCGCGGCUAGACGGAAAGACCCCGUGAACCUUUACUACAGCUUGGCACUGAACAUUGACCCUACAUGUGUAGGAUAGGUGGGAGGCUUUGAAGCACGUACGCCAGUAUGUGUGGAGCCGUCCUUGAAAUACCACCCUUGUAGUGUUGAUGUUCUAACGUCGACCCCUUAUCGGGGUUGCGGACAGUGCCUGGUGGGUAGUUUGACUGGGGCGGUCUCCUCCCAAAGAGUAACGGAGGAGCACGAAGGUGGGCUAAUCACGGUUGGACAUCGUGAGGUUAGUGCAAUGGCAUAAGCCCGCUUGACUGCGAGAAUGACAAUUCGAGCAGGUGCGAAAGCAGGUCAUAGUGAUCCGGUGGUUCUGAAUGGAAGGGCCAUCGCUCAACGGAUAAAAGGUACUCCGGGGAUAACAGGCUGAUACCGCCCAAGAGUUCAUAUCGACGGCGGUGUUUGGCACCUCGAUGUCGGCUCAUCACAUCCUGGGGCUGAAGUCGGUCCCAAGGGUAUGGCUGUUCGCCAUUUAAAGUGGUACGCGAGCUGGGUUUAGAACGUCGUGAGACAGUUCGGUCCCUAUCUGCCGUGGGCGUUGGAAGAUUGAAGGGGGCUGCUCCUAGUACGAGAGGACCGGAGUGGACGAACCUCUGGUGUUCGGGUUGUGUCGCCAGACGCAUUGCCCGGUAGCUAAGUUCGGAAUCGAUAACCGCUGAAAGCAUCUAAGCGGGAAGCGAGCCCUGAGAUGAGUCUUCCCUGAUACUUUAAGUAUCCUAAAGGGUUGUCGGAGACUACGACGUUGAUAGGUCAGGUGUGUAAGUGCUGUGAGGCAUUGAGCUAACUGAUACUAAUUGCCCGUGAGGCUUAACCA
rnacentral:rRNA from 1 species